GGCGUUAUGUCGCUCUUAACAAUUUUUGUGAUUUUUUGAUAGAAAAACUGAUUUUCUGUGCACUAUUUGAGUUUAUUCUGUUCCUUAAGGCCUGUUUAAUUCCCCUGACAAUGAGCGUUAAUAAUAAUAUACACACCACACACAGCAAACAAAGACCACCUAAAAGAUAAGACCUGGGUCACCCCUUGUAUAAUCCUAUCCUGAUGUUUGCCCAUCACUCUGGUUUACGAGUUGGUCUUCGAUUAUCUGAUUAAAAAUUUUCUACAACAAAUCUACAGUUCCAGGGCAGUACAUGUAUCCUCUUCAUGAAUGUUACCAACAAUGCAUCAGGACUUAUAAAAUCAAGACUUUCCAGAGAAGGGCAGCUAGAUGAUUUAUUUACCUCAACAUAUCCAGAGUCCAGAGACAUCAGCAUGUCCGCCAACAUCUUGGAUUUUAAUAUACUUUUUAUAUUCACUAUUGUUAAUAAAAUGUUAUGCGUUAAUAAAUAAAAAUUAUA